rnacentral:rRNA from 1 species
UACGGGGGGGGCAAGCGUUGUUCGGAAUUACUGGGCGUAAAGGGCGCGUAGGCGGUUCGCUAAGUCGGAUGUGAAAACUCUGGGCUCAACCCAGAGCCUGCAUCCGAAACUGGCGGGCUAGAGUUCUGGAGGGGGUAGCGGAAUUCCUGGUGUAGCGGUGAAAUGCGUAGAUAUCAGGAGGAACACCGGUGGCGAAGGCGGAUCUCUGGGCCUUACCUGACGCUCAGGCACGAAAGCUAGGGGAGCGAACAGG